CUGGUUACCACAGUAACCGGGGGUAUUCCAAAGUGCGCAGCCGCGAAGUGGCGAAGGCUUCCUCACCAUCCUAUACCCCUCAACGCACCAGCAGGCGUUAGCCGCUCCAGGGAGAGACCUCCUACGCGCCAACCCUAACUUCAAGGACAAGGUCCAGAGAGGAAUCAUGGGGUGUCCCAGCUUCCAUACACCGCGAGCCUAGGGAGCAAAGGCAUCCGGGGCCCCUGAAAGCCUGGCACCUGAAAAGGGAUACCCCAGUCGCCAGCUUGUCCUCCUCCCCAACCGGAGCCGGAGGGAGGCGCUGGCAGCAGGAAGCCAGGGAAGGGCCCGGAGGAGCUCAGGCCCCACAGCCGAGCGGGCACUCCUACAACUCCAAGUCUACCUUUGAGUGCCUCUACCCUGGACCUUGGGUGACUGCAAAGCGGGAUGCCUGCUUUCUGAUCUCAUCCCAGCCUGGCUGCCUCUCCCUGACCCUUAACCCCACCGCUGCCUUCUAAUCUGUCCACCACCCUCAUUCUGUUAGUUCCCUUCCUCCUCCUACUUUUUCCUCCUGCAAGGAGGUAACCUAGCAUCCAUCAGGUGACAGGUGUUGGUGGCAGGGGAGGUCCUCUCCUUCUCUGAAUGAUCUCUACCCACCUUCUGUUCUCAUUUCCAAGUCUCACCUCUGAUCCUUCCCAGGCUGUUGGCAAGUUCUUCCUCCCGUCUAAACUGCACCCUCCAACUUUAUUCCAGCCCAUUUCCCCUAUUUCCCAUCAGUUUAUUGAUCCCUGCCACACCCUUCAUCCAGUAUGCAUAAGCUCAGUGCCGUUUGGGCCCCAUUUUCCCACCCUCCAUCACCUCCACAUUUUCCUAAUUUAGGUCCCUUAUCAAGUCCCAUACACCCCCUUUCAACCGUGGGCGUCACCUUUGGUCCCAGAACUCGUCAGCUUCUGGGCUUCACAAGUUAGGCUAACACAUAUCAGAUCACCUUGACUUAUGUCAUUAAAAUAUGUCCCCUCCCUACAACUCUGGGUCCAGCCUCCUGCCCCACCCAACCACCCACCCCUCUCUCUGCAUUCAACACAUGCUCUGCAGCAUGGCUGCUCCUACCUUCUUAUCCCAGUCCUGAUCCUCUACCUCUCAUCUUCAGUCUCCCCUCCCCCAGCUCAGUCCUCCUUAAGCCUCGAAGGCAGAGGAGGGUUAGGCUAGGGCUAAUGUUGCAGUGGACACUGCUGGGCAUGGCAGCACCCCCUCAACCCCAGGCCUCCAUUUCCCCCACCUCUUCUCUCCUCCUCCCUGGGAUGGGAGGGAGGAAGGGGGUGGAAAACCCAGCCCCCACAGCUCUCUCCUAGGUGAUCAAGAGGAAAGGAAUGAGGCAGGUGUGUCUGGCUGCUCCUGCCUACCCCUCCUCCUGGGGGACUCUCACCCGCCCCGCCUGUGGGGCUGUCUUUUGGGGGAUGGGGAAAGAAACCCUGUCCUCCAGAGAAGCAGCAGAGCUGAGCAUUCGGAAGGACCCACUGCCACAGGCAUGCCUGCGAGCUAAUGGCAUUUGGAGGGGAAGGAGAUGAGGGGCAAGCUCAUGGAGGCAAAUCUCCCAGCUGGUGGGCCUACUGGGGUGUAUCACUAAGAGGCCCCCAAUUCCUUCUCACUUCUACCCAGGGGUAGGGAGACAUGGAUCAGGGUGAAAAAUAUGGAGGAUUUCUGCUGGCUGAUCAUUGGGGAAAGGAACAAGUCUUUGUCCUUGCCUGGUUCGUCAAGAGGGGUGCUAUUCUAGGGUAAAUUGAGGCAGCCAGCGGGAUCCUCAAGUGUGAGCAGCAAGAGGCCUGGAUGCAGUAGGUAAAGUGUUCUUUCCCUGAGAUCCUGACCUCACUCCCCUCUCCACUGCCCUCCUCCUUGAGGGUCUGUUCCAGAAAAAACAUCAGAUCCGAGAGUGAAGGAGAGUGCAACACUGGACCCAAACUGCUCAACAGUGUCCUCAUAGGGACAUGAGGGUGGGGAAGGAUUGCUGACCUGCUAAGGAGCACCCUGAUAUGGGGAUCUGGGAGCACAAGAGGCCCAGGAAGAAUGUGCCCCCUGCACCUUACUUACAUACCCUGCCUGGACUCAGAGAGACCAGAAUCCAGACAACAGUUGCUGCUGGGCACGGCCACUCGUCCUGGCUUGUGGCAGAGGGCUCAGGCACAAGGUGGGCGGUUGGAGCUCUGGCACCAGAGCCCUUCUCGACAUCCCCACUGCUUCCAACCAGUCCAAGCCCCAUCUCUGAUUUAGAAGAUGGUUGUUAUUCCUCACUGGCUUACCAGCUGUCACCUCAUCCCCCUUCAGCCAGUUCCCCAUCAGCGAUCCAUGUGAGACUUGGACCAGGACACUCCCCUGCUUAAGGAUCUCAAGGUUCCCAUUCCUCUUUAAUAAAACCCCAACUCCUUACUUUGGCUUAGAAAGACACAUGAUGUGACCUUUGCCGACCCUCUGAACACCUCUCCUGCUAGUCUGUUUCUUGAUUUCUUCACUGCAAUCACAAUGGCCCCUUUGCUGUUCCUCCAGCAGGCAGAGAUCUUUCUCAGCUCACACUUUCUGCCUUCACAUGGCCUCUGCCGGGAAUGCCCUUACCCAUACUCUUUGCAUGGCUUAUGGUGCAGGUCCCAGCAUGGGUAUCACAACUCACAGAGGCCUUCCCUGAAAAAACAGUGACUUUGUCUGAGGAGCCCCAC